rnacentral:rRNA from 1 species
CGAGUGGCGGACGGGUGAGUAACGCGUGGGUAACCUGCCUUACACAGGGGAGUAACACCUGGAAACAGGUGCUAAUACCGCAUAAGCGCACAGGGCCGCAUGGCCCGGUGUGAAAAACUCCGGUGGUGUAAGAUGGACCCGCGUCUGAUUAGCUUGUUGGCGGGGUAGAGGCCCACCAAGGCGACGAUCAGUAGCCGGCCUGAGAGGGUGGACGGCCACAUUGGGACUGAGACACGGCCCAAACUCCUACGGAAGGCAGCAG